AUUGAACGCUGGCGGAAUGCUUUACACAUGCAAGUCGAACGGCAGCACGGGGCAACCUGGUGGCGAGUGGCGAACGGGUGAGUAAUAUAUCGGAACGUGCCCAAUCGUGGGGGAUAACGUAGCGAAAGUUACGCUAAUACCGCAUACGAUCUACGGAUGAAAGCGGGGGAUCGCAAGACCUCGCGCGAAUGGAGCGGCCGAUAUCAGAUUAGGUAGUUGGUGGGGGUAAAGGCUCACCAAGCCAACGAUCUGUAGCUGGUCUGAGAGGACGACCAGCCACACUGGAACUGAGACACGGUCCAGACUCCUACGGGAGGCAGCAGUGGGAAUUUUGGACAAUGGGCGCAAGCCUGAUCCAGCCAUUCCGCGUGCAGGAUGAAGGCCUUCAGUUGUAAACUAGCUUUUGUACGGAACGAAAAGGGUCCUGGUUAAUACCUGGGGCUCAUGACGGUACCGUAAGAAU
rnacentral:rRNA from 1 species